rnacentral:rRNA from 1 species
UACGUAGGGUGCGAGCGUUAAUCGGAAUUACUGGGCGUAAAGCGUGCGCAGGCGGUCUGUUAAGACCGAUGUGAAAUCCCCGGGCUUAACCUGGGAACUGCAUUGGUGACUGGCAGGCUUUGAGUGUGGCAGAGGGAGGUAGAAUUCCACGUGUAGCAGUGAAAUGCGUAGAGAUGUGGAGGAAUACCGAUGGCGAAGGCAGCCUCCUGGGCCAACACUGACGCUCAUGCACGAAAGCGUGGGAAGCAAACAGG